rnacentral:tRNA from 1 species
UCUUACAGGCUAGAAAAGGCUCGUGCGGGAUUUCGAUUCCGAGGGUCGGGAGUUCGAAUCUCUCCGAGUGCGCCA